GAUGAACGCUAGCGACAGGCCUAACACAUGCAAGUCGAGGGGCAUCGGGGCGUAGCAAUACGCUGCCGGCGACCGGCGGAUGGGUGAGUAACGCGUAUGCAACCUGCCUUCAGCAGGGGGAUAGCCCGUUGAAAGACGGAUUAAUACCCCGUAACACAGGGGCUCCGCAUGGAGAUUAUUGUUAAAGGGAUACUUCCUUCGGGGGGUAUUCCGGCUGAAGAUGGGCAUGCGUUCCAUUAGGUAGUUGGUUGAGGUAACGGCUCACCAAGCCUACGAUGGAUAGGGGAACUGAGAGGUUGGUCCCCCACACUGGUACUGAGACACGGACCAGACUCCUACGGGAGGCAGCAGUGAGGAAUCUUGGUCAAUGGACGGAAGUCUGAACCAGCCAUGUCGCGUGAAGGAGGACGGCCCUAAGGGUUGUAAACUUCUUUUGCAGCGGAAUAAAGUAUUCCAGAGAUGGGAUAUUGCAAGUACGCUGCGAAUAAGGAUCGGCUAACUCCGUGCC
rnacentral:rRNA from 1 species